rnacentral:misc_RNA from 1 species
AGCAUGGCUUCAGAAGAGAAGGUAAAGCAUGCUUAGUACAAGAACUUUUUGGUCCUAGGCAAGUUAUGUCACACUUUAUUUGGGAGCAAAACAGGAGAAGUAAUAAAACUAAAAGGAAUGUUACUAUGAAGCAUGUCAUGAAAUUAAAAGCUGACAAGGACCAAAACUGACAUGACUGACAUGGUAAAUAGGUUUCAUUAAUUGGCAACAGAUGAUAAAAAGGUUUGGCUUUGAGUGGGUGCCAAGUAGAAGGAAAGGUAUAUUUGGCUGACUGUUAACUAUCUUGGAAAUGAGGCUUAGUUAAGUUGGGUUCUAGGUUUCUUCAUCUGUAGUUUAGUUUGAUCUCAAUCGAUCCCUCAUUAUUGCUCACAGGCGAAGUAAUAGGCUGAUGGUUUUGUUUGUACAACUGAUUUUGAGUAAAUUUAGAAGCAUUAUGUUUAGAUUGUCCUAUAGAUAACUAAGGCUGACUUUAGGUGGCUAAAACUUGUAGCUAUUUAUAGGAUUUCCUAUGAAAGUAAAGAACCAAAGGUUCUAGGUUUCACCCUUAGUGCCUGUUUGUUAUUUGUGUUGGUUUCACACUUGGUGCCUGUUUGUUAUUUGUGUUAUUGUUGUUUGAGGGCUAAAAAGUACUAUUUUAAAUGCCGUUGAAAAAGCUAUUUUAUAAUUUUAGUAUUCUAAUGACA